GCCCCAGUGGCCUAAUGGACAAGGCCACUGGCUUUCUAAGUCAGAGAUUGUGGGUUCAAGUCCCAUCUGGGGUG